ensembl:lncRNA
CACACACACACACACACACACACACACACACACACACACACACACACACACACACACACACACACACACACACACACACACACAGAGUAUACGAUCUCUACGCCAUACAAGGAGGAACCAUUUACUGUGAGGUGAUUUUAAGGGAGCGGGCAGAGUAGCACAUAAUGGCCCUCGCUUUGACAGCCAGUCUCCAUCCUAAAUGGCACCCUAUUCCCUAUGUAGUGCACUACUUUAGACCAGAGCCCUAUAGAACCCUAUUCCCUAUAUAGUGCACUACUUUAGACCAAGGCCCUAUAGAACCCUAUUCCCUAUGUAGUGCACUACUUUAGACCAGAGCCCUAUAGAACCCUAUUCCCUAUAUAGUGCACUACUUUAGACCAAGGCCCUAUAGAACCCUAUUCCCUAUAUAGUGCACUACUUUAGACCAGAGCCCUAUAGAACCCUAUUCCCUAUAUAGUGCACUACUUUAGACCAGAGCCCUAUAGAACCCUAUUCCCUAUAUAGUGCACUACUUUAGACCAAGGCCCUAUAGAACCCUAUUCCCUAUAUAGUGCACUACUUUUGACCAGAGCGAGCCCCUCCCCUACAGAGCCCCCUUCUAUUAACAUGUCAACACACACUGUAAAUAACAGUACACACAACAGAUCAAUGUGUACUGCUGCCAAACACUACACUACUAUAAACACUGUGUAUACUUUAGGGGGUGAACUGGGUAAGGUGAAUUAAUAGCCUAUGCUCCUUGUACAUUUUGGAUUCCCUCACCGUUCAUCCCAAAUUUGACAUCGUUCUUUUACAUGAUCUUUCUCAAUCAGGUUUUUAAUAAUUCUUCCAGUUGAAAAUAGCAGAUUAUUGAUAUGAUGACUUGUUUAGUGCGUUGCAUCGAUAACAUACUCAGUACAGUAUAUGGGAUAAGCUACAUAGUUGUAGUGGUUAGCGACACUUUAUAUAUGCUAUAUAAAGCCUUUAUAGGUUGUAAGUUGUAAAGGACCUUUUAAAAUGUAUAUUUUUUUGGGGGGGGAUUGGAAUCCAGGUUUAUGUAGAGUUUAACCCAGAGCCGUCCUGCACAAAAAGAGACCCCCAUGUUCAGAACUUCAGUGAACUUUCUAGUAGCAGACACAAACAUUUGAUCCAUUCAUGUUCCUCGGAGACAAAGGCCAUGCUGUAUGCAGCGCUUGACUUCACCAGAGAUGCAGUAAAGAGGUCAGUGGAAUAUGCAUACAGUGGGCGAUAGAAGGACGCUGGACUUGCGGGCAUUCAACAAAUCUGAUCCAUCGAAGUGGAUAUUGGUCAAAUCCGUCAUGAUGUAUUGUAACGGGUCCACAAAUGUGGUUACUCAAAUCUGAUGUGGAUAUAUUCACCUCAUAACAUGUAAAAAGCUGUCCCCUUUUCAGGUUUAGAAGAUGUGACUGCCAAAUGCUAACUCCUGUUUGUGUAAGCUGGUAGCGUAGCUAGCAUACAGAAAUCAGUGGUGGUAGUCAAAAGUUGUUUUUUAAAUUGUAAUGCAGUUGAUUGAUGACGAUGACAUCAACAUGUACGGGGGUUGACAUCUAUACAAGCAUUGCACUCUGAUUUUUUACCUCAACAUAGUGUGGAAUACACAUAUAAACAACAGUCUAAAUGUAGGGUCAUUUGGCUGGGGGGCAAUGAGGAGAUUCAGGAUCUUUCUUGCAUAGCAUCUUUCCCCCACGUGUUUCCAUGGCAUUGUUUUGGUCAAGUUCCAUUGACCUCUUUACCAUCUGUCCUUUCUAUAUGAUCUUUAUUAUUGAACUGAAUGACACUGUGUGAGAAACAGGUUACCAUUGACAAGAUAUGAUGCUGAAUGACACUGUGUGAGAAACAGGUUACCAUUGACAAGAUAUGAUGCUGAAUGACACUGUGUGAGAAACAGGUUACCAUUGACAUGAUAUGAUUCUGCAUCACAUCUACCAUGUGGUCUAAGUCUUUUUAUAAACUGGGUGGUUCGAGCCCUGAAUGCUGAUUGGCUGAAAGCUGUGGUGUAUCAGACCGUAUACCAUGGGUAUGACAAGACAUUUAUUUUUUACUGCUCUGAUUACGUUGGUAACCAGUUUAUAAUAGCAAUAAGGCACCUCGGGGGGUUUGUGAUAUAUUGCCAGUAUUCCACGGCUAAGGGCUGUGUCCGGGCACUCCACGUUGCGUCGUGCAUAUAAAAACAACCCGUAGCCGUGGAAUAUUGGCCAUAUACCACGCCCCCUCGGGCCUUAUUGCUUAAAUCACACACCCAGAACAUAUGGUCUAAGUCUUCAUCACACCCAGAACAUGAUUUGAUUUGAUUUGAACAUAACAUAUGGUCUAAGUCUUCAUCACACCCAGAACAUAACAUAUGGUCUAAGUCUUCAUCACAUCAUAACAUAUGGUCUAAGUCUUCAUCACACCCAGAACAUAUGGUCUCGGUCCUCAUCACACCCAGAACAUACGGUCUCAGUCUUCAUCACACCCAGAACAUAUGGUCUAAGUCUUCAUCACACCCAGAACAUAUGUUCUCAGUCCUCAUCAUACCCAGAACAUAUGGUCUAAGUCUUCUUCACACCCAGAGCAGAACAUAUGGUCUCAGUCCUCAUCACACCCAGAACAUAUGGUCUAAGUCUUCAUCGCACCCAGAACAUAUGGUCUAAGUCUUCAUCACACCCAGAACAUAACAUAUGGUCUCAGUCUUCAUCACACCCAGAACAUAUGGUCUAAGUCUUCAUCACACCCAGAACAUAUGAUCUCAGUCUUCAUCACACCCAGAGCAUAACAUAUGGUCUCAGUCUUCAUCACACCCAGAACAUAUGGUCUAAGUCUUCAUCACACCCAGAACAUAACAUAUUUUCUCAGUCUUCAUCACACCCAGAACAUAUGGUCUAAGUCUUCAUCACACCCAGAACAUAUGAUCUCAGUCUUCAUCACACCCAGAGCAUAACAUAUGGUCUAAGUCUUCAUCACACCCAGAACAUA